AAACCGGUCCUUUUCAGGACCAUCGAAAGUGGGUAUAAAAGCAGUAU
rfam:Aedes albopictus isolate Foshan contig218598, whole genome shotgun sequence.